rnacentral:rRNA from 1 species
GACAGAGGGUGCAAACGUUGCUCGGAAUCACUGGGCGUAAAGGGCGUGUAGGCGGGAGGGAAAGUCAGAUGUGAAAUCCCCCAGGCUCAACCUGGGAACUGCAUUUGAAACUCCCCUUCUUGAGUGAUCGGAGAGGAAAGCGGAAUUCCUGGUGUAGAGGUGAAAUUCGUAGAUAUCAGGAGGAACACCAGUGGCGAAGGCGGCUUCUGGACGGAUUACUGACGCUGAGACGCGAAAGCGUGGGGAGCAAACAGG